rnacentral:rRNA from 1 species
UACGAGGGGAGCAAGCGUUGUUCGGAUUUACUGGGCGUAAAGGGCGCGUAGGCGGUCGUGACAGUCACUUGUGAAAUCUCCGGGCUUAACUCGGAACGGUCAAGUGAUACUGUCGGACUAGAGUACAGAAAGGGGCAACUGGAAUUCUCGGGUGUAGCGGUAGAAAUGCGUAAGAUAUCGAGAGGAACACCUGCGGCGAAGGCGGGUUGCUGGGCUGA